GCUGCCAGCCGGUACCGGGGAGGCUGCCAGCCGGUACUCCCACCGGCUCCCCUCCCCGGCUCUGCCUCUCGCCCCGCGGCACCGCGUAGGGAGACAUCGCCUUCUCCCCGAGGCGGCCACGGAAGAACGAGACACGUGCAAGUCGCGGGAAACCGGUGCAGCCUCUGGGAGACAGGAGGUCCCACGCGACCCGUUCUCACUCGCAAUUGGGCAGGGUCCCAAUCCGCCCCCCGCGCCGUCGGUGGGAGGCUCCGGGAGGGCCGGGCAGCCCUUUAGCCCGGUCCCGCGGAGUGAAGCGCUUUCCGUGUCCGUGGGCAGCGCCGCCGCUCCGGGCUGCCCCGAGAGUGGGACGCGCAGUGCUGAGUGGGCUCCUGCGGCCCCGUUCACGACGGACGAGACCAGACGAAGCCUCUCGUGGAUCUUCCCCUCUGGUCCCCACGUCGGUCUCUCCUCCGCUAAGGACCUCGAAGCCAUGGAGCAGCGGGCCUCCGCGGCCGCCACGUUCACGCGUGGGAAACCCACGGAGGGAGUGUCCCCGGGAAUCUAGCUGCGCUUGCCCUCCAGUGAAUGAGACCACGGCCGCAUCGGCCUGGGGCUGGGGCUACGAGACCCUUCCCUUUCGCCGGCAGGGGAAGCCGCCCGGGGGGGGCCGAGACCGGAGGGCACCGGCGUUGUUCCCAUCCCGAGGAGUGCUGCUUCCCGGGGAUCCUGCCUGCCGCCGCGUCACCCGGGCGGGCAGGGAGCUCCAACGGCGGACACGGACAAAAUAUAAAAUAUUUCUUCCCGAGCAGCUUCCCGAACUUGGGGAGCCCGUUCCCCUCAGAGGCACGGGCAGUGGGAAGGGGCAUCCGCCUCCGGGGUGCAGGAGAUGGGGCGGCACCAGGUCAGUGACCCAGAAAUUCAGAGGGGGAACCCCCCUAACCCUCAUCUUCUGAAGCACGAUGCCCAGCCUAUCACAAAGGGCAUUUUCAGGGGGUCGGGACCGCUCUCCCCAACGCCGGGGCCGAGGGCUGCCCGCCCCUCUGCCGCUCCCCGCGUUCCCCGGUGAGGUUUGCCGCCCCUUUCCCAGCGUGCCGCCCGGGGGAUGAGCCCUCCCCGCAUGGCACAGCCCACGCCCGCAGCCCGGCGUGGCCAUUUU
rnacentral:lncRNA from 1 species